GCUUGUCUCAAAGAUUAAGCCAUGCAUGUCUAAGUGUAAAUAAGUCUAUACUGUGAAACUGCGAAUGGCUCAUUAAAUCAGUUAUCGUUUAUUUGAUGAUCUCUUACUACUUGGAUAACCGUAGUAAUUCUAGAGCUAAUACAUGCACAAAAUCCCGACUUACGAAGGGAUGUAUUUAUUAGAUACAAACCAGUGUCGCAAGACAUUGUGGUGAAUCACAGUAACUGAUCGAAUCGGCGCGCAAGCGGCGAUAAAUCAUUCAAGUUUCUGCCCUAUCAGCUUUCGAUGGUAGUGUAUUGGACUACCAUGGCAGUCACGGGUAACGGAGAAUUAGGGUUCGGUUCCGGAGAGGGAGCCUGAGAAACGGCUACCACAUCUAAGGAAGGCAGCAGG
rnacentral:rRNA from 1 species